rnacentral:tmRNA from 1 species
GGGGCUGAUUAGGAUCGACAGGGGGCGAUCAGGCAAGCAGGUGCAUGCCGAGGUGGUGGCGAGGCCUCGUAAAACACGUCACACUACAAAAAUGCUGACAAAAUCAGCUGGAGCAACAGGUCCUUUGGGCCUGUGGCUCUUCCCAUCGCUGCCUAAUUAGGUCCAGCGACGUUUCUGAGGUCUUUAGCCUUGGGGGCUUUUGAAACGACCAGCACAAGGAUAGUCACAUGUGUUUGCUUUCGAUGCAUGUGGCGAAUGGCAAGAAGGCUCGUUCCAAACUUCUCCUGACUGUGGGUGAUUUGGGAUUAAAUUAAAUUGCAGUCUGAGCAUGGAGAUCCGCUGGUUUGAGUCUCACUGGACGUGGGUGCAAUUCCCACCAGCUCCACCA